AGUGAACGCUGGCGGUAGGCCUAACACAUGCAAGUCGAACGGCAGCACAGUAAGAGCUUGCUCUUACGGGUGGCGAGUGGCGGACGGGUGAGGAAUACAUCGGAAUCUACUUUUUCGUGGGGAUAACGUAGGGAAACUUACGCUAAUACCGCAUACGACCUACGGGUGAAAGCAGGGGAUCUUCGGACCUUGCGCGAUUGAAUGAGCCGAUGUCGGAUUAGCUAGUUGGCGGGGUAAAGGCCCACCAAGGCGACGAUCCGUAGCUGGUCUGAGAGGAUGAUCGGCCACACUGGAACUGAGACACGGCCCAGCCCCCGACGGGAGGCAGAAGUGGGAAAUUUUGGAAAAGGGGCGCAAGCCUGACCCAGCCAUCCCGGGUGGGUGAAGAAGGCCUUCGGGUUGUAAAGCCCUUUUGUUGGGAAAAAAAAGAAGAAGGUUAAACCCCCGCUGUUCGGACGGGACCAAAAAAAUAAGCACCGGCUAACUUCGU
rnacentral:rRNA from 1 species